rnacentral:rRNA from 1 species
UACGGGGGGGGCAAGCGUUGUUCAGAAUUACUGGGCGUAAAGGGCUCGUAGGCGGCCAACUAAGUCAGACGUGAAAUCCCUCAGCUUAACUGGGGAACUGCGUCUGAUACUGGAUGGCUUGGAUUCGGGAGAGGGAUGCGGAAUUCCAGGUGUAGCGGUGAAAUGCGUAGAUAUCUGGAGGAACACCGGUGGCGAAGGCGGCAUCCUGGACCGAUAUUGACGCUGAGGAGCGAAAGCCAGGGGAGCAAACCGG